GUUUUUAUAGUUUAAAAUAAAACAUUGGUCUUGUAAAUCAAAAAUAAGAUUAUCAACUUUAAAAACU
rnacentral:tRNA from 1 species